GAUGAACGCUGGCGGCGUGCCUAAUACAUGCCAGUCGAGCGAACGGACGAGGAGCUUGCUUCUCUGAUGUUAGCGGCGGACGGGUGAGUAACACGUGGAUAACCUACCUAUAAGACUGGGAUAACUUCGGGAAACCGGAGCUAAUACCGGAUAAUAUUUUGAACCGCAUGGUUCAAUAGUGAAAGACGGUCUUGCUGUCACUUAUAGAUGGAUCCGCGCCGCAUUAGCUAGUUGGUAAGGUAACGGCUUACCAAGGCAACGAUGCAUAGCCGACCUGAGAGGGUGAUCGGCCACACUGGAACUGAGACACGGUCCAGACUACUACGGGAGGCAGCAGUAGGGAAUCUUCCGCAAUGGGCGAAAGCUUGACGGAGCAACGCCGCGUGAGUGAUGAAGGUCUUCGGAUCGUAAAACUCUGUUAUUAGGGAAGAACAUAUGUGUAAGUAACUGUGCACAUCUUGACGGUACCUAAUCAGAAAGCCACGGCUAACUACGUG
rnacentral:rRNA from 1 species